AGUGAACGCUGGCGGUAGGCCUAACACAUGCAAGUCGAACGGCAGCACAGUAAGAGCUUGCUCUUACGGGUGGCGAGUGGCGGACGGGUGAGGAAUACAUCGGAAUCUACUUUUUCGUGGGGGAUAACGUAGGGAAACUUACGCUAAUACCGCAUACGACCUACGGGUGAAAGCAGGGGAUCUUCGGACCUUGCGCGAUUGAAUGAGCCGAUGUCGGAUUAGCUAGUUGGCGGGGUAAAGGCCCACCAAGGCGACGAUCCGUAGCUGGUCUGAGAGGAUGAUCGGCCACACUGGAACUGAGACACGGUCCAGACUCCUACGGGAGGCAGCAGUGGGGAAUAUUGGACAAUGGGCGCAAGCCUGAUCCAGCCAUACCGCGUGGGUGAAGAAGGCCUUCGGGUUGUAAAGCCCUAUUGUUGGGAAAGAAAAGCAGCAGGUUAAUACCCCGCUGUUCUGACGGUACCCAAAGAAUAAGCACCGGCUAACUUCGUG
rnacentral:rRNA from 1 species